rnacentral:rRNA from 1 species
GACGAACGCUGGCGGCGUGCUUAACACAUGCAAGUCGAACGGAAAGGCCCUGCUUUUGGGGGUUGCUCGGGUGGCAAACGGGUGAGUAACCCGUGAGUAACCUGCCCUUAACUUUGGGAUAACUUCAGGAAACUGGGGCUAAUACCGGAUAGGAGCUCCUGCUGCAUGGUGGGGGUGGGAAAGUUUCGGCGGUUGGGGAUGGACUCGCGGCUUAUCAGCUUGUUGGUGGGGUAGUGGCUUACCAAGGCUUUGACGGGUAGCCGGCCUGAGAGGGUGACCGGCCACAUUGGGACUGAGAUACGGCCCAGACUCCUACGGGAGGCAGCAGUGGGGAAUAUUGCACAAUGGGCGGAAGCCUGAUGCAGCAACGCCGCGUGCGGGAUGACGGCCUUCGGGUUGUAAACCGCUUUCGCCUGUGACGAAGCGUGAGUGACGGUAAUGGGUAAAGAAGCACCGGCUAACUACGUG